GAGGUCCCAAGCGUUGUUCGGAUUCACUUGGGCUAAAGGGUGCGUAGGCGGUCGGGUAAGUCUGAUGUGAAAUCUCCGAGCCUAACUCGGAAACUGCAUCGGAUACUAUUCGGCUAGAGGAUUGGAGGGGAGACUGGAAUUCUCGGUGUAGCAGUGAAAUGCGUAGAUAUCGAGAGGAACACCAGUGGCGAAGGCGAGUCUCUGGACAAUUCCUGACGCUGAGGCACGAAAGCUAGGGGAGCAAACAGGAUUAGAUACCCUGGUAGUCCUAGCCCUAAACGGUGCACGUUUGCUGUAAGAGGAUUCGACCCCUUUUGUGGCGAAGCUAACGCGUUAAACGUGCCGCCUGGGAAGUACGGCCGCAAGGUUA
rnacentral:rRNA from 1 species